rnacentral:rRNA from 1 species
UACGUAGGGCGCGAGCGUUGUCCGGAAUUAUUGGGCGUAAAGAGCUCGUAGGCGGCCUGUUGCGUCCGCUGUGAAAUCCCGGGGCUCAACCCCGGGCUUGCAGUGGAUACGGGCAGACUUGAGUUCGGUAGGGGAGACUGGAAUUCCUGGUGUAGCGGUGAAAUGCGCAGAUAUCAGGAGGAACACCGGUGGCGAAGGCGGGUCUCUGGGCCGAUACUGACGCUGAGGAGCGAAAGCGUGGGGAGCGAACAGG